GUCAAAACCCAACAGUGUUGGUCAUCAAUCUCAACAACACAAGGGAGACGAGAGACAACCAUUUCACCUCUUCCUGUUGACACUGUGGCAAAAGUGACUGCUAGCGUUGUAGCACAGAUGUUUUCAUCUUGAGCGUUAUAAAGGAGAGCAGGCGCACAUUAAAGAGCCGCCAGAGGAGCGACAUCUUGUCCUGCAAUCCAGGCAACGGCAGCAGAGCUGUGAGUGUUUCUUUAGUUAUCUGACUGUUCGAGUCUGUGACGAAGAGCUGUGGUGAUACGAGCUUUCGUGUGUCGACUGCGAAGCUUCAAGAAACAGGAGCAGCGUUCAUGAUGUCCAAAAGAAAGGUAAGAUUUUGUUUUGUUGGACUUCAGGACGGUUUUCAGUAAGGCUGCACGAUAUUGGAAAAAAAUAAUAUUGCGAUUUUUUCGACCCUGCGAUAUAUAUUGCGAUAUUAAAAAUACAGUAUUUUCACCAGAUGACCUGAAUAGCACUUAAUGUUAUGCUGCACUGCUGAAAUCUUGAGGACAGUUAAUCUGCUCUGAUCUUACCUCUUUUUGUGAAUGUUAGUAGAACGGCUUCUGUCUGUCUCAGAGAUAUUUUUAGCUUUUAUUGUGCUGGGACGUUAUUGUGGCAACAGGUGAACACAGAAGUGUUUUGGUCGACAUCAUCCUACUUUUAACCGAAAUAAUUCCAGAUAACUGACUUUCCUUUUCUUUUUGGCAACAAAUCUUCAUUUUCGGUGGUUUUCGCUUGUUCGUUGUUCAUUUUGCGAUCGUUGUUGUUGUUAGCGGUGUUGUGCCGAGAAACGCAUGUCCUCCGAGAAUUGCAUGCACCUCGCAAAACGCGCACUGCUUAUAGUAGAGUGAUCCACGGAAAUGUAAAAUUUAAAACCCAUACAGUUCUUAUUUGUUGGGCUUAACAGUCAUGAGUAAAGUUCCGAAAGUAAUUCUCAGCGGACACACGUCUCCCUCCAUGUGCAGAACAUGUGCAGGGGUGGGUUUUCUCCUCCCUGAUUUUGAUUGACAGCUGGCAGGGUAGUCUGAUUGGCAACUGAGAAGUGAGUCUGAUUGGCAACUGAGUUAAGGACGAAGGCGAUUGGUGGAUCGCUGCACAGCACAUGCAGAGUCACAUGGAGUGUAUCUCAGUCGGUUACCCUUGAAAUUAAAUGAGUUCAUUCACCUCCAAUAUCGCAGGCUCUGCGAUGUGACUAUCGCACACACGUACAUCGCGAUGACGAUAGUCAAACGAUAUAUCGUUCAGGCCUAGUUUUCAGUACAUCUUUAACGGGGUCAGGCUCAGAGCAGUUACAUCAGCCUGGUUAGUGGAUUCAGCAAAAAACUGUGUGGCCGUUUUUAGAGGUAAAUUUGAGCCGAUGCGGUGACUUCCACUCCAGAGUCACGUCUGUUUUUAACGGUUUCCAAGAUUCAGAGUUCUGAACAUGACUCUGAAGUUGUCAAGCUAUUUGCUAACACAGUCUGUCACAGAGCGGUAAAUCGUAACUCUUUUUUAUAACUGAGAGACUUCGGCCAAGUCCACACGAAGGCAAAAACAAUAUAUUACCGUUUCGUUUUGGUAAAGUUUACCGUGAAGACAAAAUCAUUUCAGGAAAUAAUCGCUUAAACACGAAACCCCUGAAAACGCUGAAGUGCAUAUGACAAGCCUGUAACGCCGCCCCGUAAAUGCACCAAAAGACAGAAGAAGAGUUCAGAGCAUGGGUAUAAAGGUGUUUUGGCCGAAAACACGCGCAGGCGCUUUAAUAGAGUUAUGUUGUGUAUGAAGUAAUCCUUUCACAAAAGAUGUGGAUAGGCGAAACGGUAGUUGUUUACGGAUUUAUUCGCUCUACAACCUGUUUUCAAAAGUAUCGUUUUCAGUCGCCCAAAACGCCAUUUUCAUGUGGAUGAAACGCCGAUACAACAAAUUCUUUUGUGUUUACUCCUGAAUUCAUUUUUGUGUGGAUAAGACCCCAGCUUCUCUGAAUGCUCCUCCCACACCUGGUCAUGUGACUAUCUGGUCGCAGCUUUAAGAUUUUAUCAGGUAAAUUAAACCUAACUUUAUCUUACUUUACCAAACUUUGUCUGUUUUUUGUCGUCCUUGUCCCGACUGUUUUAAAACGUGUAAAAAUAAGGAAAAAUUUACAUGAAAUUAUUAAAUUUUCAGUCUCAUCAUUUGAUAUGUUGCUCUAUUUUGACUUGAUUAUUGAGUUUAAAUGAUCGGCAAACUACAUAACGACUUUUUUUUAAUCUUUUGUUACAGAGUUAAUAAAGUUAUCGUAGAAAUAAACUAAAUAGAUGCUACUGUGUUGUGCAGGCCUCAUCUACAUGCCAGCACGGUUAUCAGACGUCAGCAGAGAG